rnacentral:rRNA from 1 species
AAAGAAACUAACCAGGAUUCCCCUAGUAACGGCGAGUGAAGCGGGAAAAGCUCAAAUUUGUAAUCUGGCGCCUUUGGCGUCCGAGUUGUAAUCUCGAGAAGUAUUUUCCGCGCUGGACCGCACACAAGUCUGUUGGAAUACAGCGUCAUAGUGGUGAGAACCCCGUCUACGGUGCGGAUGCCCAGUGCUUUGUGAUAUACUUUCGAAGAGUCGAGUUGUUUGGGAAUGCAGCUCAAAUGGGGUGGUAAAUUCCAUCUAAAGCUAAAUAUUGGCGAGAGACCGAUAGCGAACAAGUACCGUGAGGGAAAGAUGAAAAGCACUUUGGAAAGAGAGUUAACAGUACGUGAAAUUGUUGGAAGGGAAACGCUUGAAGUCAGACUUGCAUUUUGGAGUUCAGCCGCAAGGUGUAUUCUUCAAUUCGCAGGCCAGCAUCAGUUUUUGGGGGUGGAAAAUCGCGGUUUGAAGGUAGCAGUCUCGGCUGUGUUAUAGCUUUCCGCUGGAUUCACUUUGGGGGACUGAGGAACGCAGUACGCUUUUUGCAAGAUUCUAGAGUCUUUCGUACUUAGGAUGCUGGUGGAAUGGCUUUAAAC